CACGUAGGCGGAUGUGUCAGUCAGGGGUGAAAUCCCGGAGCUCAACUUCGGAACUGCCUUUGAUACAGCACGUCUUGAGUCCGAUAGAGGUGGGUGGAAUUCCUAGUGUAGAGGUGAAAUUCGUAGAUAUUAGGAAGAACACCGGUGGCGAAGGCGGCCCACUGGAUCGGUACUGACGCUGAGGUGCGAAAGCGUGGGGAGCAAACA
rnacentral:rRNA from 1 species